GAUGAACGCUAGCGGCGUGCCUAACGCAUGCAAGUCGAACGGUUAAAGCUCUCUUCGGAGAGUGUAUAAAGUGGCGAACGGGUGAGUAACACGUAGAUACGUGCCCUGAAGAGGGGGACAACCAUUGGAAACGAUGGCUAAUACCCCAUACGAUAUUUAUAUCAAAAGCUCCGGCGCUUCAGGAGUGGUCUGCGGUCCAUCAGCUAGUUGGUAAGGUAAUGGCUUACCAAGGCGAAGACGGAUAGGGGGCGUGAGAGCGCGAACCCCCACACUGGUACUGAUACACGGACCAGAUACCUACGGGUAGCAGCAGCGAGGAAUAUUGCGCAAUGGGGGAAACCCUGACGCAGCAACGCCGCGUGGAGGAAGAAGGCCUUCGGGUCGUAAACUUCUUUUCUGACAGAAGAGAAAGGACGGUAUGUCAGGAAUAAGGCCCGGCUAACUACG
rnacentral:rRNA from 1 species